AGUGAACGCUGGCGGUAGGCCUAACACAUGCAAGUCGAACGGCAGCACAGUAAGAGCUUGCUCUUACGGGUGGCGAGUGGCGGACGGGUGAGGAAUACAUCGGAAUCUACUUUUUCGUGGGGGAUAACGUAGGGAAACUUACGCUAAUACCGCAUACGACCUACGGUUGAAAGUAUGGGAUCUUCGGACCUUUCGCGAUUGAAUGAGCCGAUGUCGGAUUAGCUAGUUGGCGGGGUAAUGGCCCACCAAGGCGACGAUCCGUAGCUGGUCUGAGAGGAUGAUCAGCGACACUGGAACUGAGACACGGUCCAGACUCCUACGGGAGGCAGCAGUGGGGAAUAUUGGACAAUGGGCGCAAGCCUGAUACAGCCAUACCGCGUGGGUGAAGAAGGCCUUCGGGUUGUAAAGCCCUUUUGUUGGGAAAGAAAAGCAGCAGGUUAAUACCCCGCUGUUCUGACGGUACCCAAAGAAUAAGCACCGGCUAACUUCGUG
rnacentral:rRNA from 1 species